rnacentral:rRNA from 1 species
UACAGAGACUGCGAGCGUUAUUCGGAUUCACUGGGCGUAAAGGGUGCGCAGGCGGCCAAGUGUGUGAGGCGUGAAAGCCCGGGGCUUAACCCCGGAAUUGCACCUCAAACUACAUGGCUAGAGUAUUGGAGAGGGUAACGGAAUUCACGGUGUAGCAGUGAAAUGCGUAGAUAUCGUGAGGAACACCAGAGGCGAAGGCGGUUACCUGGACAAUUACUGACGCUCAGGCACGAAAGCGUGGGGAGCAAACAGG